GAUUAGCGGCGGGAAUUCAAUGGAAAUGGUGACCGAUCACAACCCCAAACUUGUCUCAUUGCUUGUCCUCAAGUGAUGUAUUGAGUCCAAACAAAGGUCACCCCCGAAUUCGCUUUCCACAAUGCAACCUAGUCUUUCACCCUUUGUGUUCUUCCUUUCCAAUCGAGUUUCAGGUCUCUCCGAUUCAGGCAGUUUACCACAUUUCCACAUCAGAAACCUCUUCACCUGCAAGCUUUUCACACACUCACAAUAUCUCUCAGGGUUAGGUGUGUACACUCACAGCACAGUAUGCAAUACCAAACUCUUAACUUUGAAUACAUUCUAAUGUCACUACCACAGCAGAUUCCACACACUUUUUGAGGUCUUUUUAGGUUGUAACGGGGCUUGGGUACGGUGGGAUAAACAAAAAAACUUGGAUAACAAAGGGUUUUGAACUCGGUAGUCGUGUUGUGUGAUUUUUCUUUCUCUUUUUUUUCUGUGCAUCACAUAUACUCUGGGGGUUAAUUUCACUCUUUUGAUUCUUUUUCUACUCAAAUUUUCCGAGCAUUUUAUAUCUGUUAGAAUCUAAGGUCUCGGCAAGUGCAUUUUUCUUUUCUUUUUUUCUUUUUCUUUUUUUCUUUUUUUCUUUUUUUUUUUCUUUUAAAGAAAAUACAUACUAUUUUCUUUUUUGUAUGAUCUCAUCUAAUGCACUUGCCUUCUCUUUCAACAUUUCCACCCCAAACUUAGUUUUAUUGGACAUCUUGCAAUUCACACAAUCAUACCGAGUUAUGACACAAAAGGAAAUGGAUGAUUAAAAGUUAACAGGGGGUUCCUGAUGAAUAAUGCUUAAACGUUAACAUGGGGUUUACA
rnacentral:lncRNA from 1 species